rnacentral:piRNA from 1 species
UAUUUCAGGAGACACAUAACACCCAUGCCU